GCAUUGGCGGUUCAGUGGUAGAGUUCUCAGCCUCCAUAUGGGGGACCUGGGUUUGAAUCCUGGCCGGUGCA
rnacentral:tRNA from 1 species